ensembl:lncRNA
UGUCAGCAAAAGCUGGUAAAGAUUAGCUUUAAAAGAUUGAGUAGUAUCAACAGCUGCCUUGGGAAUUCGUUAGGGAAAAGGGAACAGUUCUGACCUUUGAGUCCGUGUUUCAGCGCCUUUCUGAUAUGCGUCAGAACAAAAGUUCAAGUUGUGCCUCACUUUGCUUUGUCACACCUUGCUGCAUGUAAAGCAGAGAACAGGAAUUUGGGAGAAGCCAGGCUGAGGCUCAUCUCCUUACCUUCAGAGCUGCCGUACCAACUGAUGUUGGCACAGAUUUCUGACUGGCUUUUGUAUAUGGAAAUCGAAGUCCCUGGAGGAAGCAAGGGGUUUCAUGCUGUGGGCUGACAUUUGACCUCCCAAUGGAGGGACAGCAGAUGGCAGGACCUCACAGACUCAUUUCUGUCUCCUCUAUCCCUGAACAAACACAGUCACAAAGGAGCAUACAAGAGAAAAUCUCUUCAGAAAUGUGCAUUCACUUCACUGACUAGAAGUAUAAAUACGUACAGAAAAAGAAAGGCUUCGCGGAGUCCAUCCACUAUAGAAUGAGUUUGUAGAAACAAAGUGACUAUCUGAAAAGGGAUUUCAUUUUUUUAGUCAAAAUUUGCAAUUGGCAAUUGCAAUUGGGUAGCAACUGGCUUGAGAAGAAGAAAGGCCAAAUAAGUUUCUGGAAAACUCAAUGCUAAAAGCCAGUCAGCCAAAAGACAAAGUCAAGAUACAAAACUACAGACAUUGGACAAACUCCUCAGCAAUCCUGAAUUAGGGCCUUGUACUGCACUCCCGUUAUUAGUGAUUUGCAGUACCAAGUAAAUCCCUCAUAAGGAUAUUUUUUAAGUACCCCUUCACUGUCCUGACUUUAUCAAGGCUCCAGAGGAUGUCAGUGUGGAGUAUUUCUUUCUCACCUCUUUUACCUCUUGUUUCAAAGUCAGCCACAAUUCCCUGUGAAGGGUCAGGUCAGGGUCUGCCUGGAGAAGAUUUCAACCUGGACGGGAAGGGAACAGAAUCCCUUUACCCGGAGUAACUCUGUCCCUAACCCGCUGCCACUUUGGGAUUCAUGUGCAUCUUUGCAUCUGUGGAGCAGCGUCUGGCUCCAGCUGGGCUGAGUCACCAGCAGCACACAGCUUAUGGAGCAAUGCAAGGUCCUGCAUGAAAAAUGUUCACUUCGUGGCACUUGAGAGAAAUACUUCCACAAGCAAAAUUCCUACAGGAAUUACAGUGCUGUGCAUAUAUAGGAAACAAAACAGAAGACAAAGAAAAGACAUCACCAUGAUUUAUAGGAGUUGCUGUCGGGCUACCAAGAUAAAGUAGGUGCCUUUCCCCUCUGUCACAUACAGACAUCACUUGCAGCAUCUUCAUUCUUUCUCCGACACAUUCAAAUAAAUGUGUGCAUUCUUUCCAAACUAAUUAUAUUCCAAGCAACAUUUAGAAGUCAGUCAAGUUCCUGACAGCAUGGUCUUGGAUCUCAGACUGUUUUAGGAAAGUCGCUGGCUGCUUAUAGGAAGAAGGACAGAUGGACAGAGGUUUCAGUACCAGGGCCCUCACACGCAGAGCAUGCAGGAAGCACUUCAGCAUUAUCUAAGCCCAUUAAUUUCCAGUAUUGUACAGACUUACCACUAAAAAGAAUAUAUACGUGUAUAUAUGUGUGUGUUUAUAUAUAUACGCAUAUGGAAGGCUAUUCAUUGACCUUAUCAAGAUUAA